AGAAUGACUCUCGGCAACGGAUAUCUCGGCCCUCGCAUCGAUGAAGAACGUAGCGAAAUGCGAUACGUGGUGUGAAUUGCAGAAUCCCGCGAACCAUUGAGUCUUUGAACGCAAGUUGCGCCUGAGGCCUUGCCGCCGAGGGCACGCCUGCCUGGGCGUCACGC
rnacentral:rRNA from 1 species